rnacentral:misc_RNA from 1 species
AACGCACCUUGCGCUCCUUGGUAUUCCGAGGAGCAUGCCUGUUUGAGUGUCAUUAAUAUAUAUCAACCCACUCUUGUUGAGUGGUUUGGAUGUGGAGGGUUUUGCUGGCUGCUUAAAAGGUGCCAGCUCCUCUGAAAUGCAUUAGUGGAACAACCUGUCCAUUCAUUGGUGUGAUAACUAUCUACGCUGUUGAAUGUGAGGCAGUUCAGCUAUCUAACAGUCCUUGGACAAACUUAUCAUUUAAUGUGACCUCAAAUCAGGUAGGACUACCCGCUGAACUUAA